AAACAUCUACAGAGCUAUAGUCCCUUAUUGCUCCAGGGCAGAAGGAGGAAGUUCUGGAAUGGAUGCCUUUAAGCCCGGUUGGGUGUGAGACGGGAUGGAGACGGUGAGACGUGACGUGAGGGCUGCAGCGGUGACCUGGAAGGAGGGACUGGAACGCAGUGCAGACUCAGAGGUCUGGUCACCAGCUAGCAAGGUCAAGGACCAUGGAGAGACUCUUCAACCUCCACGGUAUAUGUACUUAGCUAACCCACAUGGGAAAGAUAUUGAAUCAUUUAUUUAUUUAUGCGUUCUACCUGGAAUUUGUCAAUAAUACACAGCAAAUACACCGAGAAGAUUCAUAGAAGAUUCAUAGAAGAUUCUAGUAAUAUCUGAC
ensembl:lncRNA